UGGGUAAUAUUGCACAAUGGGCGCAAGCCUGAUGCAGCCAUGCCGCGUGUAUGAAGAAGGCCUUCGGGUUGUAAAGUACUUUCAGUCGGGAGGAAGGUGGUAAGGUUAAUAACCUUAUCAAUUGACGUUACCGACAGAAGAAGCACCUGCUAACUCCGUGCCAGCAGCCGCGGUAAUACGGAGGGUGCAAGCGUUAAUCGGAAUUACUGGGCGUAAAGCGCACGCAGGCGGUUGAUUGAGUCAGAUGUGAAAUCCCCGGGCUUAACCCGGGAAUUGCAUCUGAUACUGGUCAGCUAGAGUCUUGUAGAGGGGGGUAGAAUUCCAUGUGUAGCGAUGAAAUGCGUAGAGAUGUGGAGGAAUACCGGUGGCGAAGGCGGCCCCCUGGACAAAGACUGACGCUCAGGUGCGAAAGCGUGGGGAGCAAACAGG
rnacentral:rRNA from 1 species